rnacentral:rRNA from 1 species
AGUGAACGCUGGCGGUAGGCCUAACACAUGCAAGUCGAACGGCAGCACAGGAGAGCUUGCUCUCUGGGUGGCGAGUGGCGGACGGGUGAGGAAUACAUCGGAAUCUACUCUGUCGUGGGGGAUAACGUAGGGAAACUUACGCUAAUACCGCAUACGACCUACGGGUGAAAGCAGGGGACCUUCGGGCCUUGCGCGAUUGAAUGAGCCGAUGUCGGAUUAGCUAGUUGGCGGGGUAAAGGCCCACCAAGGCGACGAUCCGUAGCUGGUCUGAGAGGAUGAUCAGCCACACUGGAACUGAGACACGGUCCAGACUCCUACGGGAGGCAGCAGUGGGGAAUAUUGGACAAUGGGCGCAAGCCUGAUCCAGCCAUACCGCGUGGGUGAAGAAGGCCUUCGGGUUGUAAAGCCCUUUUGUUGGGAAAGAAAUCCAGCUGGCUAAUACCCGGUUGGGAUGACGGUACCCAAAGAAUAAGCACCGGCUAACUCUGUGCCAGCAGCCGCAGUAA